UACGGAGGGGGCAAGCGUUAUUCGGAAUUAUUGGGCGUAAAGGGCGCGUAGGCGGCUAGAUGUGUCAAAGGUGAAAUCCCUCGGCUCAACUGAGGAACUGCCUUUGAAACUGUCUGGCUUGAGGCCGGGAGAGGGUAGCGGAAUUCCCAGUGUAGCGGUGAAAUGCGUAGAUAUUGGGAAGAACACCUAGGGCGAAGGCGGCCGGCUGGGCCGACCCUGACGCUGAGGCGCGAAGGCGUGGGGAGCGAACGGG
rnacentral:rRNA from 1 species